GCGCCCGUAGCUCAACUGGAUAGAGCAUCCGCCUUCUAAGCGGACGGUUGCAGGUUCGAUUCCUGCCGGGCGCGCCA
rnacentral:tRNA from 2 species